rnacentral:rRNA from 1 species
AUUGAACGCUGGCGGCAUGCUUUACACAUGCAAGUCGAACGGCAGCGCGGGGGCAACCCUGGCGGCGAGUGGCGAACGGCUGAGUAAUGCAUCGGAACGUAUCCUGUAAUGGGGGAUAACGUAGCGAAAGUUACGCUAAUACCGCAUGCGCUCGAGAGAGGAAAGUGGGGGAUCGCAAGACCUCACGUUAUAGGAGCGGCCGAUGUCCGAUUAGCUAGUUGGUGGGGUAAAGGCCUACCAAGGCGACGAUCGGUAGCUGGUCUGAGAGGAUGAUCAGCCACACUGGGACUGAGACACGGCCCAGAGUCCUACGGGAGGCAGCAGUGGGGAAUUUUGGACAAUGGGCGAAAGCCUGAUCCAGCCAUGCCGCGUGCGGGAAGAAGGCCUUCGGGUUGUAAACCGCUUUAGUCCGGGAAAAAGGGGUGCGAGGAUAAUACCCUUGUGCUUUGAUGGUACUGGAAGAAUAAGCACCGGCUAACUACGUGCCAGCAGCCGCGGUAAUACGUAGGGUGCGAGCGUUAAUCGGAAUUACUGGGCGUAAAGCGUGCGCAGGCGGUCUUGUAAGACAGUCGUGAAAGCCCCGGGCUUAACCUGGGAACUGCGAUUGUGACUGCAAGGCUAGAGUGUGUCAGAGGGGGGUGGAAUUCCACGUGUACCAGUGAAAUGCGUAGAGAUGUGGAGGAACACCGAUGGCGAAGGCAGCCCCCUGGGAUAACACUGACGCUCAUGCACGAAAGCGUGGGGAGC